UAUGGGUUUUGAAAUUAGAAUUUUUUAAAGUCUGCCUUGUAUUUUCACAAACAUCUUAAAUUUCAGCAUCUGAUAACUGGGUUUGAGAAUACUUGUCUUGAAGGUUUUAUUUAAUUGUUUCUAAGAGAAUAAAAUGAAAAUGUACUUAAAAUACUUGGCAUGUAUAUAUAUACUCAAAUAUUGGUUACCUUUUCUCCACUUAAUGGGAAGCAUGUAGUUUUUCUUCCAACAACCGCAGUUUAUAUCUGAUUCUUUCCAUUAAGUAUAUGUGGUCAAAAAUUAUCAACUAAAUGUGAGUUUUCUCAAUCCAUGAGCAGAUUAUGGCUACUCAUCUGGGGGACAGAACUCUUGUACUAAGACAAUGAAUACCUUGUGGAAGAAAAUUUUCUAGCAUAAAUUUUAACUAGUGCCAACAAUGUCCACAGAGAAAAACUUAAAUUGAAUUCAUUUUUAUUGCUGCUAUUUCACACAAGUUUACUUCUCCUAGGUAAGUAGGAAUUUAUAACAUUUGUUCUUUCUUUGCUGGGCAGAAUCUAGAGUGCGGUCACACUGACAGUACAGUUUGUAGGAAAUCGGGGAUGGUUCUCCAGAAUACAUGAAGAUUCUCAGGGAUUGUUGCAAGGGAUCACAAAAGAGAUCUUUGGUCCAAAGAAGACAUCUCUGAAAGAAAGUAGAACAUCAAUUAAAUUCAGCUGAAAGCUAAGUCUUCUUUAGGCUAAAAAAUGGACAAUGAUUUCCAGGAUUUCAGAUAUGACUAUUCUUUUUAGGUGAAUAAAGUACAAAGAGCAUCAGUGUGAGGACUUGCCACAGGAGCAACAAGAAUCAAGAAGACCUCUUGCUGGACCCUGGCUUAUGUUGCUCUGACGACCAUCUGUCUCUUUAUGACAGUCUCUGGAGCCUCCCAAAGUAAACUUCUCAUGUCAGGCGAAAGUCCUUGAAUCACUGAGGGCAGCAGUGUGGGGAGAAACAGCAGCUGCUUCCACCUUCACAGGAGAGAGGCCCACGGCUGGCUACCUCCAUUGUGUGUGACGUGGCUUCACACCUUGACAACACGGCUACUUCAGCACAAAACAGGAUCAAGUCUUUCCAGUGAUCAAUGAGUCCGCUUCCUUUUACAUAUAUGCAUUUGUUUAGCGAAGAGGAGGUCAGCACCUCACACCCACCUUUCUAUGUUCUGGCUCAACGAAUCUGAGCACUCCAGUACCU